AGCAGCCGCGGUAAUUCCAGCUCCAAUAGCGUAUAUUAAAGUUGCUGCAGUUAAAAAGCUCGUAGUUGAAUUUCGGGACCAUCAUGUCGGUCGUGCCUCGGUACGUACUGGCAUUGUUGGUUUCUCCCUUCUGACGAACCAUGAUGUCAUUAAUUUGGUGUCAUGGGGAAUCAGGACUGUUACUUUGAAAAAAUUAGAGUGUUUAAAGCAGGCUCACGCUUGAAUACAUUAGCAUGGAAUAAUGAAAUAGGACGUUUGAUUCUAUUUUGUUGGUUUCUAGGAUCGACGUAAUGAUUAAUAGGGAUAGUUGGGGGCAUUAGUAUUCAAUUGUCAGAGGUGAAAUUCUUGGAUUUAUUGAAGACUAACUACUGCGAAAGCAUUUGCCAAGGAUGUUUUCAUUAAUCAAGAACGAAAGUUAGGGGAUCGAAGACGAUCAGAUACCGUCGUAGUCUUAACCAUAAACUAUGCCGACUAGGGAUCGGAUGAUGUAAUUUUUAAUGA
rnacentral:rRNA from 1 species